rnacentral:rRNA from 1 species
AGUGAACGCUGGCGGUAGGCCUAACACAUGCAAGUCGAACGGCAGCACAGUAAGAGCUUGCUCUUACGGGUGGCGAGUGGCGGACGGGUGAGGAAUACAUCGGAAUCUACUUUUUCGUGGGGGAUAACGUAGGGAAACUUACGCUAAUACCGCAUACGACCUACGGGUGAAAGCAGGGGAUCUUCGGACCUUGCGCGAUUGAAUGAGCCGAUGUCGGAUUAGCUAGUUGGCGGGGUAAAGGCCCACCAAGGCGACGAUCCGUAGCUGGUCUGAGAGGAUGAUCAGCCACACUGGAACUGGGAAACGGUCCAGACCCCUACGGGAGGCAGCAGGGGGGAAUAUUGGACAAUGGGCGCAAGCCUGAUCCAGCCAUACCGCGUGGGUGAAGAAGGCCUUCGGGUUGUAAAGCCCUUUUGUUGGGAAAGAAAAGCAGCAGGUUAAUACCCCGCUGUUCUGACGGUACCCAAAGAAUAAGCACCGACUAACUUCGU